AACAUACUCCCUCCGUCCGCAAUUACUUGUUGUACAAAUUAAUAAAAAUGAAUGUAUCUAGAACUGAAAUACAUCUAGAUACAUUCAUUUCUAUGACAAGUAUUUUUGGAAGGAGGGAGUAGAUG
rfam:Hordeum vulgare subsp. vulgare, WGS project CAJW01000000 data, contig: morex_contig_135928